GACAGUUUGGCUGAGUGGUCGAAGGCGCUAGUUUUAGGCGCUAGUCCGAAAGGGCGCGAGUUCGAAUUUCAUAGUUGUUA
rnacentral:tRNA from 1 species